UACAGAGGUCCCAAGCGUUGUUCGGAUUCACUGGGCGUAAAGGGUGCGUAGGUGGUCGGGUAAGUUUAAGGUGAAAGCUCCGGGCUCAACCCGGAAAUGGCCUUGAAUACUAUCCGGCUCGAGGGUUGGAGGGGGGACUGGAAUUCCCGGUGUAGCAGUGAAAUGCGUAGAUAUCGGGAGGUAUACCGAUGGCGAAGGCAGGUCUCUGGGCUGACACUGACGCUCAUGCACGAAAGCGUGGGGAGCAAACAGG
rnacentral:rRNA from 1 species